AAUAGGAUAGCUGGGUCAUAUAGUAGUUCCAUUCCUAGAUUUUUGAGAAAUCUCCAAACUGCUUUCCAAAGUGGUUGUACCAAUUUGCAGUCCCACAAACAAU
rnacentral:miRNA from 1 species